CUCCCUCUGCCUCAGGUAAUCAGCAAUUUGGCAUGAUGCUCAGAGUACCUACUUACAAAAUUAUCUUGCUGGGAGUAUAGAAGAGGUUUUGUGUACAUACGGAAGAGGACUAAUAACAAUUGGCUGGAUAAAACAUUUACACAUAACUUCUGGCUUUCUCUCAGGCAUAGCUUUUGCAAGGGAUUUAUAGGUCAGAUUGGCUCAGCAGUUUCAGCCUAUUGCCCACCCUACCUUAACAAAGCUUGCGUCUGUUUGUACAGCUGUGCUCGUAGCUGUGGGAGUCCAAGGGAUCCCACAAGCCUUCAGUUCCUCCACCUCCCCUUCAUCAUUUACCAGCACACAAAUGUGCACAGAAUGAAACUGUAGAAAACUGUCUGACUAGCAGGUUAAAGGCCCAGAAUUCAACCCUUGUUUAUUUUCUUUACUUGAUUUCUUGCUGCUACAAAAAAGAUGCGGGUAUAGCACAAACUUCUCUAUGUUACAAUGGAGCUCCAGAAGAUUUACGUCCCGUAUCAAUCAAGACAUGUGAAGAUAGGCAUAUGAUACUGGAUGCAUUCACUUCUCCCAGCUUGACAAAAUGUACCAUUCUGGUUUGGUGGAUAAUGCUGCUAAAUUGAAGAUGUUAUCUCUCUCAUUCACAUACCUAUAUUUUUCUUCUACCAGGUGUUGCCAUGACACAGGACAGCUCCUAGAAAUUCUACCAGUAGGAAGAGCUAGCAACAAAAUUUAAUAAAAUAUAUGCAGGAAGAUUCCACCUCUUCUGUCAUACCACCACCAUCCUCCUCUGAUGUGGGCCACCAAAGUAAAAUAGAAAACAUUACUUUGGGAGCAGCGGUCAUAGGUAGUUUCAGCUGGUAUAACCUCUCUAUGUUUUCUGCAUUGAAAGUAAGUGUUUAUUACUUGGAAACCCAGAAAAGACCUGUCCUUUAGUCAUUUAAAUGUGGGAUCUGAAAUGUUAUAAAAUGCACCUGUUAGAGACUGUGCUGGAAUUCAAUUAGCUCUUAUGUGAUUUUUGCAGCUGAACUAAUUGGCUGAAAGAUUAUACUGGAUAAAUACAAGAUAUAAAAUGGAUUAUCAGGGAAGAAAUCUAGAGAAAUGUCAUGAUUUCACUUUGUAAUUUUGUACAUAAAAUGACAAUUACAUUACUAUUCUGCUUUAAGUAGAACACAACCAGAUUUGUAUUACUUGUAUAUUUUGAAUUUUCAAAAGAACAAUAUUCUAGUUAAUACUUGUGUUAAAUGUCAAGUGCUUUUGAGUAGGAAAAAAACUGCUCUACUACAAUGAUUAUAGUUUAUAAAUUGUGAACAUUUAUUUCCAUUUAUCAUUUAUGUUAUUUGUAAUGCUUGACUAGCAUAACUUCACAUAAAUCAAAUUGAUG
ensembl:lncRNA